UUUGACAUGUACGGAAUUUGCCAGAGAUGGCUUAGUGCUCGAAAGAGAACCGUAACACAGGUGCUGCAUGGCUGUCGUCAGCUCGUGUCGUGAGAUGUUGGGUUAAGUCCCGCAACGAGCGCAACCCUUGUCAUUAGUUGCUACAUUCAGUUGGGCACUCUAGUGAGACUGCCGGUGACAAACCGGAGGAAGGUGGGGAUGACGUCAAGUCCUCAUGGCCCUUAUAGGUGG
rnacentral:rRNA from 1 species